AGUUUUUGAGGCUGCAAGCUUUGGAGGGACAAAUAUUGAUCCGACGGCUUGGGAGGAUAAGAAAUGCCCCGGAGAAUCCCGUUUCCCUGCUCAGGUGAGAGUGAUAACAAGGCAAAUAUGUGAGCCAUUGGAGGAGGAUUCAUUUAGGCCAAUUCUUCACCACUAUGAUGGCCCUAAAUUCCGACUUGAGCUCAGCAUUCCAGAGGCCAUUUCUCUACUUGAUGUUCUUUACCACCAAAAUUCUUAACUUUUGAACACUUACUCAACUCUUAGCUAAGCUACAAUAAAUCUUCAUAUGUAAAUACUUAUACUCAUAAGUUCUCUCUAUGACAUGAUUAUAUGUAAUAUGGUUUAGGAUGAGG
rnacentral:misc_RNA from 1 species